AUAUAUAAGAACAGCGUCCAGUUUUCCUUGAUUAAAAUUUGAAUAUACCAGAAUAUAAAACUAUUAGAAUCAUUUUAUGAGCCUCAGUGGGAAAUGAAAUUCCAAAAGCUUAUUGAUUUAAAAGUAUUUUCACUUGAUGCAAACCAUAACCUUAAACCAAGGUAAAACUCAAAACAAUUCUUUUCUUCUUUAUUCUAAAUAUUUAAGUGUAAAUUACAAGUUAUUACUUUAAAGAAUGGCUCUAAAACCUAUAAACUUCAGAGUCAGACCAUUUAAUUCUAUUAUAUUUGUCUAGAUAUUAAACAUAAUUGGACUUCACAUGAAAAAUUACAGAAGAUAAGCGAUCUCAGGAAAUGUGUUUACUACUGUCAAUUUAAGCUCUAAGCGAAAGACAUGAGGCCUAAGACUGAGAUGAGGUUGUUUUGAGGCCAUCUGAUUUCUGACUAGAAGGUGUGCGAUCGCCUCGUCCUGAAACCACUUCAAACAGAAUGGUUUGCAAUUUUUUUUGGUGAUGGCAUGUUCAGAAUCUUGGAUCCCUAAGUUGAAUAUGUUGGAAAUAUUUAGGAACUCUGGAAAUUAUUGUUUUGUGUAUAUUACGACUUACUAGGUGAAUCAGUAGAUUUAAUAAAAAAGAAUAUAAAAAAGAA